rnacentral:rRNA from 1 species
GUCUAUGGCCAUGCCACCCUGAACACUCCUGAUCUCGUUUGAUCUCGGAAGCUAAGCAGGGUCGGGACUGGUUAGUCCUUGGAUGGGAGACCACCUGGGAAUACCAGGUGCUGUAGGCU